UACAGAGGUCUCAAGCGUUGUUCGGAUUCAUUGGGCGUAAAGAGCUCGUAGGCGGUUUGUCGCGUCGGCUGUGAAGACUCGGGGCUCAACCCCGAGCCUGCAGUCGAUACGGGCAAACUAGAGUGUGGUAGGGGAGACUGGAAUUCCUGGUGUAGCGGUGAAAUGCGCAGAUAUCAGGAGGAACACCGGCGGCGAAGGCGGGUCUCUGGGCCAUAACUGACGCUGAGGAGCGAAAGCGUGGGGAGCGAACAGG
rnacentral:rRNA from 1 species